UAGGGAAUCUUCCACAAUGGGCGAAAGCCUGAUGGAGCAACGCCGCGUGUGUGAUGAAAGGGUUUCGGCUCGUAAAACACUGUUGUAAGAGAAGAAUGACAUUGAGAGUAACUGUUCAAUGUGUGACGGUAUCUUACCAGAAAGGAACGGCUAAAUACGUGCUAG
rnacentral:rRNA from 1 species